rnacentral:rRNA from 1 species
UACAGAGGUCUCAAGCGCUGUUCGGAUUCAUUGGGCGUAAAGGGUGUGUAGGUGGCGCCGUAAGUCGGGUGUGAAAUUUCGGAGCUUAACUCCGAAACUGCAUUCGAUACUGCGGUGCUUGAGGACUGGAGAGGAGACUGGAAUUCAUGGUGUAGCAGUGAAAUGCGUAGAGAUCAUGAGGAAGACCAAUGGCGAAGGCGGGUCUCUGGACAGUUCCUGACACUGAGGCACGAAGGCCAGGGGAGCAAACGGG